CUUGGAUUCGUCUGAGUUCCCCGUGCACUUGACUGCAAACUUGUAAAAUUAAUAAACUUGUACUAUAUUUAAUUUUCACAAACUGAUUUUUAAGACUUGACUGCUCGUUUUGGCAUGUUUGAACGGGCAAUCAAAAACUUUAAUAUAGUUUUGGAGUCGCUAAACAUAGAAAAUGCAGUCUCUGCGGGCGACCUUGUCACAGGACAUAUUAAUUUUGAUCUCAUGAAGGAGACAAAUAUCUCUUCGCUGUCGAUCAUGCUGAAAGGAGGAGUACAUGUCCACUGGACGACGGGAGGGAAGCACAAAACACACCACAGAGCAAAACUGGAAUUCUUCAAUAUCAAAAGUGCCAUCAUACAGGGAGACAACGCCAUUGGUGGGGGGACCAAACUUGCUCCAGGCAGACAUGUGUACCCGUUUUCAUUCCAGAUCCCACAAGGAGAUUUCCCGUCUUCCUUUAAUGGACCUCACGGACAAAUAUCAUACAAGCUGACUGUGAGCAUCAACAGACCCUGGCAUUCGUCUAAGGACUUUGUGACAAAGCUGAACUUUG